AAAAAGUGAGUAUAAUACUUUAAACUGAUUAUUAUAACUUAAUAAUUAUAUUUGUCAAUCAUAAAAUUAUAUUUAAAAGACAAAUACCUAUUUUAACAUUGUUAGAUUUUUUUUUUUAAUUUGCAUUUUUCUUAAAAUUAUCUCACUUACAAAGCCGGAGAGGAUAUUUUAUAAAUCAGAAAAUGUUGAUAGUAUUUUAAAUGCUUCCAUUAACUGUUUUAUCAGCACUUUAUUUAUCACUGUUUAAUAUGCAUUUUUUUUUAAAUUUACAGGAAAAUGAUAAAAGAUGAUUAUAAAACACUUGAAUUUAAUACAUUUCAGGUGAUACCAGAUCGAUCCAGUGGUUUAGCCGUGAUGGAUUUUUUGAGAACAUAACUUUGUGACUCACUUAUUGGAAUACCUAUUCAUUGGACUUACUAUAACACGGUCCAGGGGAAACCACGUGACUAAAUUGGAUAACGUGCACCCAAAAGUGCUAAAAAUAGGCCCACUUCAGCAUGGAGAAUGAAUAAAUGUGCCAGGAGUGCGGAAAGUCUUUUCGGAGAAAAAGUAAUUUAAAUAAGCACGAGAAGAGACAUAGUGGAGCGUGUCCCUACCACUGUUGUGGAAAAAACUACUCUUCAAAGGCCCAUCUGUCUAGACAUCGGUGCCAGCUGUAAGGACAACCUCUUAUGGUAAGAACUCCUUCAAGUAUGCUGCGCCGGUGCUGUGGAACUCACUACCAGAACACUUCAGGACCUGCUCCAGCUUCAAUCAAUUCAGAAGCCUCAUAUCCAUAUGGAGUGGCAGGGACUGUAAGUGUAUUGCUUGUAAACCAGGUUGGUGAGCUCCUACAGCAUUUGUGGGGCCUACUUGGAGUUCAGCAGUGUAUGUAUUUUAGCUUUUUGUUUGCUGUUCUUUAAUUUUGCGGUCUUGCAUGUUGCUUUUCUCCACUUAUGUUAGUUUCCAAGCCUGUUGCUAUUAAGCUUAGUAGAGUCAGAAUUAUAUUCAUACAGUUAUGUUUUUUUUUACUUUUCUUUGUAUGUUACAAUUUAACUAUAGAGUACUGUAAUUCUGCUUUGCCAACUACUCAUUUUAUUAUGUUUUCCUAGUUAUAAUUGUGUUGUACAUGUGAUUGUGUUU